AAUCUUGCGCAAUGGGCGAAAGCCUGACGCAGCCAUUCCGCGUGAAUGAUGAAGGUCUNUGGAUUNUNAAAUUCUUUCACCGGGGNCGAUAAUGACGUUACUCGGAGAAGAAGCCCCGGCUAACUUCGUGCCAGCAGCCGCGGUAAUACGAAGGGGGCUAGCGUUGCUCGGAAUUACUGGGCGUAAAGGGCGCGUAGGCGGACAUUUAAGUCAGGGGUGAAAUCCCAGAGCUCAACUCUGGAACUGCCUGUGAUACUAGGGGUCUUGAGUGUGAGAGAGGUAUGUGGAACUCCGAGUGUAGAGGUGAAAUUCGUAGAUAUUCGGAAGAACACAAGUGGCGAAGGCGACAUACUGGCUCAUUACUGACGCUGAGGAACGAAAGCGUGGGGAGCAAACA
rnacentral:rRNA from 1 species